rnacentral:rRNA from 1 species
ACGGGAGGCAGCAGUAAGGAAUAUUGGUCAAUGGGCGCAAGCCUGAACCAGCCAUGCCGCGUGCAGGAAGACGGCCCUACGGGUUGUAAACUGCUUUUGUACCGGAAUAAACCUUUUCACGUGUGAGAAGCUGAAUGUACGGUAAGAAUAAGGAUCGGCUAACUCCGUGCCAGCAGCCGCGGAAUACGGAGGAUCCAAGCGUUAUCCGGAUUUAUUGGGUUUAAAGGGUGCGUAGGCGGUUCUUUAAGUCAGGGGUGAAAGACGGUAGCUUAACUAUCGCAGUGCCUUUGAUACUGAAGAACUUGAAUACACUUGAGGUAGGCGGAAUGUGACAAGUAGCGGUGAAAUGCAUAGAUAUGUCACAGAACACCAAUUGCGAAGGCAGCUUACUAAAGUGUCAUUGACGCUGAGGCACGAAAGCGUGGGAUCAAACAGGAUUAGAUACCCUGGUAGUCCACGCCCUAAACGAUGAAUACUCGAUGUUGGCGAUAUACGGUCAGCGUCUAAGCGAAAGCGUUAAGUAUUCCACCUGGGGAGUACGCCCGCAAGGGUGAAACUCAAAGGAAUUGACGGGGGCCCGCACAAGCGGAGGAGCAUGUGGUUUAAUUCGAUGAUACGCGAGGAACCUUACCCGGGCUUGAAAGUUAGUGAAUGAUUCAGAGACGAAUCAGUCCUUCGGGACACGAAACUAGGUGCUGCAUGGCUGUCGUCAGCUCGUGCCGUGAGGUGUUGGGUUAAGUCCCGCAACGAGCGCAACCCCUAUGUUUAGUUGCCAGCAUGUAAUGAUGGGGACUCUAAACAGACUGCCUAUGCAAAUA